rnacentral:lncRNA from 1 species
AGACGCCCGUGUACAGCUGCCAGGGGCGGGCCCGGGACUCCGGCGGGGGCGGCCUCACAGUGUGCCGCCGGGCGGCUACAGGUGUGGCCCUGAAGAGGAAGCCGAGAGGAAGGAAGUGCGGAAAAUGAGGGGUGCAGUGAAGCCUGUUGUUGUGCACCAUUCACAGGUUCUGGUGAAGAUCCCUGCUAGAUGAUGUCCAUAGACAUCAAGCAAUGGGUUACCCAGUUGGCUGUAUACUGUCACACUCCUUCAAAACUCCAAAGACAAAAACUUUUGCUUGAGUCAUGCAUGUCAGAGAGAACUACAGUUCCAGACACUCCAUCAAGACCUCAGACAAAUGGCCCGGUGAUAGAAUUGUUUAAGUACACAAAUUAACAAUCACCCAUUACCAAAGUUGACAUCUUUGUAUUUGGAUGCUGUUAUCUGGUGAAGACCAUACUACAUCCUCUUGCAUUUCUCGACUGCUUUGCUCCUUUUGGUGCAGACUGAUGGUCCUCUACCUUGAAGUCUAACAAAAUAAAGAGCAAACAUUUGUUGUUUUGAGGUUGUGC